GACGAACGCUGGCGGCGUGCUUAACACAUGCAAGUCGAGCGGUAAGGCCCUUUCGGGGGUACACGAGCGGCGAACGGGUGAGUAACACGUGGGUGACCUGCCUUUAGCUCUGGGAUAAGCCUGGGAAACUGGGUCUAAUACCGGAUAUAACUCCGCGGUGCAUGCUGGGGGUGGAAAGCCUUGUGCGGCUGGAGAUGGGCCCGCGGCCUAUCAGCUUGUUGGUGGGGUGAUGGCCUACCAAGGCGA
rnacentral:rRNA from 1 species